GACGAACGCUGGCGGCGUGCCUAAUACAUGCAAGUCGAGCGGAGGUUGGAGAGCUUGCUCUUCAACUUUAGCGGCGGACGGGUGAGUAACACGUGGGCAACCUGCCCUGCAGAUCGGGAUAACUCCGGGAAACCGGUGCUAAUACCGAAUAGUUUUCGCCACCUCCUGGUGGCGUACGGAAAGACGGUUUCGGCUGUCACUGCAGGAUGGGCCCGCGGCGCGUUAGGCGAGUUGGUGGGGUACCGGCCCACCAAGGCGACGAUGCGUAGCCGACCUGGAAGGGUGAUUGGCCACACUGGGACUAAGACAAGGCCCAGACUCCUACGGGAGGCAGCGAUAGGGAAUCUUCCGCCAGGGACGAAAGUCUGACGGAGCAACGCCGCGUGAGUGACGCAGGUUUUCGGAUCGUAAAACUCUGUUGUGAGGGAAGAACAAGUACCAAUUAACUACUGGUACCUUGACGGUACCUCACCAGAAAGCCACGGCUAACUACGUGCCAGCCGCCGCCGUAAGAC
rnacentral:rRNA from 1 species